rnacentral:rRNA from 1 species
CAAUAGCGUAUAUUAAAGUUGUUGCAGUUAAAAAGCUCGUAGUUGGAUUUCGGAAUGGCCCGGCCGGUCUGCCGCAAGGUAUGUUACUGGCCGAGCUGUUCUUCUUCGCAAAGACUGUGUGUGCUCUUAACUGAGUGUGCUCAGGAUCUGUGACGUUUACUUUGAAAAAAUUAGAGUGUUCAAAGCAAGCCAGCGCUUGAAUACAUAAGCAUGGAAUAAUGGAAUAGGACUUUGGUUCUAUUUUGUUGGUUUCUGGAACCUUAGUAAUGAUUAAGAGAGACAGUUGGGGGCAUUCGUAUUUCGUUGUCAGGGGUGAAAUUCUUGGAUUUACGAAAGACGAACUACUGCGAAAGCAUUUGCCAAGAAUGUUUUCAUUAA